UCCUUCCUCAAAAUCCUCCCUCGUGCUUCCCCCUGCCUCUCUCACUUCCUCGUUCUCACUCCAGUCUCUCACCUUCGUUCUCUCUCUCUCCCCCUUCAAAAGAAACCCAAAUCCCCAGCUCUCUCUCCCUUCGCCCGUUUCCCUCACCGUCAGCCCCCAUUCCCGCUCCGACCACCAUCAGUCCGAACCCCAAGUCCCCGCCGUCGCCAGCUCCACCAACUCCACCCCCGCUCGAGCGGCUAAUCCUUUACCAGAUCUCAGGGGCUUAUUGAAGACUUGGAGCUUGAGUUGAGGUUCCCUUUUCAUUUUAUCAUCUAAUUUGAAGUUUUAACCGCCCAUUUAGUGAAGAAGCUCUUGGGGUUGGUGACCCAGUUCCAAAAUGAUAACUUUCUUGAUGGGGCUUCUUGAUUUUUACUUAUUACAGUCGGAAUGGGCAGCAAAAUUUGAUCUUAAUUAAGUUGAAGGAGAUUGUUGGAAUAAUGAUAAGCUCAGUACCUGGGUCCAUUUCAUUUGUUGUUAUUUCAGUGGGGAGUAUAGUUUCAUGUAUUAUGAUUGCAUCUAUGUUUAUUAACUACAAUCCUACUGGUUUUAGUUUCAACUCCAUAGUUUCUGAACAAGGGCAAGCUAUAGUCGAGCCCCUCUCCUACCGAGCUUCCCAGACUCCCAGCUCACUGCCGACCAAGCCCCGCCCUGAGCUCCGCGGCACAUCUUUACCCUUACAUCGCCGGAGAUCCCCAUGGCUGGACAGAAGAUCAAGGUCGGAAUCAUCGGAUUUGGAAGGAUAGGGCGAUUGGUUGCCAGAGUGAUUCUCCAAAGCGAGGAUGUUGAGCUCGUGGCCGUCAACGACCCCUUCAUCGCCACCGAUUACAUGCAGGUGCAGCUGCAGUUUCUGCAAGAGAGGCAGUCACAGAAAACUUGCUAGGGUCCUGCAUUGGACGUACAAUUUUUCAGCAAUCACAUGCAUCAUCUUUGGGAAUCAAAUCUUGUGGGAAAGUGAAUUCAGUGGCAACAGAAACAGCAAUAACGUUCUUGUAGGAAUUAAUGAACAUAUGGGGUGAUGCUGCGAGGGUUGGGUAAGAGAGGCCCAGUGACAGCGAAGCAACCAUAGAAACACCAGCUGCA